CUAUUUCUGGGUUAGCGGAGUCUGUAACCUGAAGCAUAUGUAACCUGAAGCGUAUGUAACCUGAGGUACCACUGUACAUUAUAUCUGUAAAUUCACAUUUCCCCAUUUCGUUAUGUACCAUCAUUUAUCCAUUUCUUAUUUCUUGCCCUGUGUCUUCCCUCCACCCGUGCGUGACUUCCUUGUUAUUAUUUUGUAACUUUAUUAUUGAGAUUGUAAUUUUGUAUCUUAAUACAGUGGUACCUCAGGUUACAUACGCUUCAGGUUACAGACUCCACUAACCCAGAAAUAG